AAUAUUCCCUUCAUCAAUUUUAACCUCUCUUUGCUCAUUUUUCUUUUUAAAGCAGUCUUUAAUAUAAUAUCCCUUUUUUCCACAACCAUAACAUUUUCUAACUCCAGUUCUAGACUUUGACCUUUGUCUACCCUUUCCCUUCUUCCUAAAGGUAUUAUUUCCCUGAUUACUUUGGUUACCUUGAUUAUUACUACAUCUGAUUAGUGGUCUACCUCUUACAAAUAGGUUCUCACUUUCCUGGCCAUGUCUCUCACAUCUAACUUCCAAAUCCUUGCUUCUUAAAGCAUCA
rnacentral:lncRNA from 1 species